rnacentral:rRNA from 1 species
GACGAACGCUGGCGGCGUGCUUAACACAUGCAAGUCGAACGGAAAGGCCCUGCUUUUGUGGGGUGCUCGAGUGGCGAACGGGUGAGUAACACGUGAGUAACCUGCCCUUGACUUUGGGAUAACUUCAGGAAACUGGGGCUAAUACCGGAUAGGAGCUCCUGCUGCAUGGUGGGGGUUGGAAAGUUUCGGCGGUUGGGGAUGGACUCGCGGCUUAUCAGCUUGUUGGUGGGGUAGUGGCUUACCAAGGCUUUGACGGGUAGCCGGCCUGAGAGGGUGACCGGCCACAUGGGGACUGAGAUACGGCCCAGACUGCUACGGGAGGCAGCAGUGGGGAAUAUUGCACAAUGGGCGGAAGCCUGAUGCAGCAACGCCGCGUGCGGGAUGACGGCCUUCGGGUUGUAAACCGCUUUCGCCUGUGACGAAGCGGGAGUGACGGUAAUGGGUAAAGAAGCACCGGCUAACUACGUG